rnacentral:rRNA from 1 species
AAGGAAUAUUGGUCAAUGGGCGGAAGCCUGAACCAGCCACGCCGCGUGCAGGAAGAAGGCCCUACGGGUUGUAAACUGCUUUUAUACGGGAAGAACCGCCCUCCUGCGGGGGGGUAUGACGGUACCGUAGGAAUAAGCAUCGGCUAACUCCGUGCCAGCAGCCGCGGUAAUACGGAGGAUGCAAGCGUUAUCCGGAUUCAUUGGGUUUAAAGGGUGCGUAGGUGGGUCCAUAAGUCAGUGGUGAAAUCCGGCAGCUCAACUGUCGCACUGCCUCUGAUACUGUGGGUCUUGAGUUAAGUUGAAGCAGGCGGAAUAUGACAUGUAGCGGUGAAAUGCAUAGAUAUGUCAUAGAACACCGAUAGCGAAGGCAGCCUGCUAAACUUACACUGACACUGAUGCACGAAAGCGUGGGUAGCGAAC